GCAUGGAAGUCUGUUUUCUAAUUAAGUGUAUAUACAUGUUCUUAUUAUUUGUAUGUAUAGCCGCUUCCAAAUCUCAAGCGGAUGGAUUUGCGUUCGUCUCUCCUCUUAAAGGAGCUUCCUGACCUCUCAACUGCCACCAAUCUUCAAAAAUUGAAUCUGAGUGGUUGCUCCAGCCUGGUGAAGCCCCCCUCCACUAUUGGGUAUACCAAAAAUCUCCGAAAGUUAUAUCUUGGUGGAUGCUCAAGUCUGGUGGAGCUCUCUUUUUCUAUUGGGAAUCUCAUCAAUCUAAAAGAAUUGGAUCUUAGCAGUUUAUCAUGUCUAGUGGAGCUCCCUUUCUCGAUUGGAAAUGCCACCAACCUAAGGAAAUUAAACCUUGACCAAUGCUCAAGUCUGGUGGAGCUCCCUUCCUCUAUUGGGAAUCUCAUCAAUCUAAAAGAAUUGGAUCUUAGCAGUUUAUCAUGUAUGGUGGAGCUCCCUUCCUCUAUUGGGAAUCUCAUCAAUCUAAAAGAAUUGGAUCUUAGCAGUUUAUCAUGUCUAGUGGAGCUCCCUUCCUCUAUUGGGAAUGCCACUCCUCUCGACUUAUUAGAUCUCGGUGGAUGCUCAAGUCUGGUGGAGCUCCCUUUUUCUAUUGGGAAUCUCAUCAAUCUAAAAGUAUUGAAUCUUAGCAGUUUAUCAUGUCUAGUGGAGCUCCCUUUCUCGAUUGGAAAUGCCACCAACCUUGAGGAUUUAAACCUUCGCCAAUGCUCAAAUCUGGUCCAGCUCCCCUUUCUCGACUUGGAACCUUCAGAAGUUGCAGACUUUGAACUUACGAGGAUGCUCUAAGCUAGAGGUUCUUCCGGCCAACAUCAAAUUGGGAUCUCUCAGGAAAUUAAACCUUCAACAUUGCUCAAAUCUGGUAAAGCUCCCCUUUUCUAUUGGAAACCUUCAGAAGUUGCAAACUUUGACCUUACGAGGAUGCUCUAAACUAGAAGAUCUUCCAGCCAACAUCAAAUUGGAAUCUCUUUGCUUACUUGAUCUCACUGAUUGCUUGCUGUUGAAAAGGUUUCCUGAGAUCUCCACAAACGUUGAAACUCUCUAUCUCAAAGGAACCACAAUAGAAGAAGUCCCUUCAUCAAUCAAAUCUUGGUCUCGUCUCACUUACUUGCAUAUGUCAUACAGUGAAAAUCUCAUGAACUUUCCUCAUGCUUUUGACAUCAUCACAAGGCUGUACGUGACCAAUACAGAGAUACAAGAGCUUCCCCCAUGGGUCAAGAAAUUCUCUCAUUUAAGAGAACUCAUUCUCAAGGGAUGCAAAAAGCUGGUAUCACUCCCACAGAUUCCAGAUUCCAUCACUUACAUAGAUGCAGAAGAUUGUGAGUCCCUGGAGAAACUAGAUUGCUCCUUUCACGAUCCAGAGAUUCGGGUCAACUCUGCUAAGUGCUUCAAACUGAAUCAAGAAGCCAGAGACCUCAUCAUCCAGACACCAACUAGUAAUUAUGCGAUCUUACCCGGCAGAGAAGUGCCUGCAUACUUCACUCACCAAUCUGCUACUGGAGGUUCCUUGACAAUCAAGCUGAACGAGAAGCCUCUUCCUACAUCCAUGCGGUUUAAGGCUUGCAUUUUGCUGGUUCGUAAAGGUGACGAUGAAAAUGGCUGCUAUGUUAGUUGUAAAAAAAGUAGGCAUUAUUUAUAUCCACCUUUAGAAGAGCAUAUGUACGUAUUUGAAGUCAAAGCAGAUGUGACUUCCAGCGAGCUUGUCUUUGAGUUCAAGAUCGACAGUACGAAUUGGAAGAUAAAAGAAUGUGGGGUAUUCCAACUCUCGGAGGUUCCUUGAUGAAUCUUCAAAAAGUGAUGUCUGAAACACCCUUGAUGAAACUGAAGUCUGUGGUGAAGUAAUGGAGACAUUUACUAAAAAGGUAAUCUAAUAUAAAUGUUGAUAGAUUUUGUACAAUGUUAAUCUCUUCUUUGAGGAUUGAAAUAUUACUUUACUUCAGUGGGCCACAUAAGAGGUGCUGUGUAUCUGCAACUUCUGUUUUUCUUUAUCUUCUUUAAUCCUCGAUCACUAUUAUUGAUCAUUUCAACUAUUUAACUCAUCUGUGAUAAAAUGAAAAACAAUUUGAAUUUUAACAGUGUACUGUAAUUUCAUCACAUGAACAAAUGUGGGAAAUCUUUCAGGACUUUUUGUUUGUUCGAUGAGUAUUACACAAAACUGACAUUCACAUCGAUUUUUUUUAUAUAGUCCGUAACAAACUAACAACUCUUUCAAGUAUUAAGAUUAAAAACUUUCAUCUAAUUACAGUUAGGUUUUUCGUCGGACGAUCAUCAUUCUUCGAUCCUAGAAGUUACGGUGAGCAGAGUAUCAUCAAGCCGCCCAUCAGGUGAUUAAACCUGAACUCUACUCUUAUUCAGAAUUACUAAGAAGAGCUUGAAAAAAGGAAUUUUCGCGUAAUACAUUAUACAUGUAUAUCUUUCUUUCUUCAGGCUGUCACCAACGUUAUGGAACGAUCAAAAACUAUAUGCUGCAGCCGUUAUGGAACGACCAAAAACCUUCUUUGCACCAAUGAUAACUCUAAGUCAACUGUUAUAUGAAAGUAUAGAUUUUUAAAGCUUUUAAUAAAGUGCUUUGAUUGCUUUUUGUUACUGACAUGAAGAUGUUGUUCUGUUUGGGAUGUAUAGAUAGUUCAAAUAAAGGAGUUGAAACUUCUCUCAGUCUAUGGUCUAAGAUCAUGGAACAGACAUGAACAGAUAGGUAAAAAACUCCAUCAACAGUUUUUUGGCUAAGUAUCCGAGCCUUGCCUCUGCAAACCCUCUUGUUUUUCUUCAGCUCUAGAUAUAUUCUCCUAAGCACUAAGCAGGUCUGAAACUAAUCUACUGUCAAUGAGUAUACUGAUGCUUGUCGACUCAACGGAGUAUACUAACCAAGUUUUUCAAUCUUCAGUAACUAUCCAUUUCACCUGACACAAAUCCGAGUGAUUAGUGGCCUUAGAAAACACUAAACCUUGAAAUGUAUGAGGCUUUUGUAACCAAAGUCAUGCAAUACGGGGAACCAACUCCAUAGUAUUAGAUGAUACCAACACUCUAAUACGAAAAACGAAGAGAGUCCAAAACCAAAAGAGUCAUUUUAAAACAGAGGGAGAGAGAGAGUGAUAAAAAAAAAAAAGAUUCAUUUUGGUGUGAGAGGAAUAGCUGUAUCGUCUCAAUUGUUUCUUCAAAAAUGGAUAAGUCUACCAAAUCCACCGUACCAUACUAAAUCGAUUGCAUUAAAACCAAAACGAAAAAAGCUUCAGUGAAACCAGAAGAUUAAUAUGCAUUUAUAAGAAAUUUGAGUGGUGUCAAAAAAAAAAAAAAAAAAAAAAAAAAGAAAUCUGAGUAAGUAAUUUACCAAAAAAAUAAAAGAUAUCUAAGCUAAAUGGGUGAACGACCUGUGUCCCCCCAGUAAGUUUCAUAUAGUACCAUAACAACACAGAUUUCGGGUCUCGUCUCCAGUCCACACAAAACGAAAGUUAAACUCCAGUUUCCCCCUAAAUUGAAAGUUCGAGACUUCAGUCUCCAUAGUUUCAAAUUUCGUGGUUUAUCUUCGGUUUACUGUGCCGAACCCGAUUAACCGCUUAACAUCGAAAUUAAACCGGAUUUACCCAGAAACCAAGCCGAUUAUUAGACCCAUUAAACCCGAUAAUCCCAAAAUCGUAAAAUCACCAAACUUCACAAACACACACACACAAAAUUCAAUUACAAAGUGAUCAAGAAAAGAUAUCAGUGAGCUCUACUAGUAAAUUAUACCUGAGGAUAACAAAUCUGAAUCCCUCCACGCAUUGAUUUAGGAGGUUUGAAUAUAGCCUAGCAAAUUUACAACCAAAUUUAAAAAUCAGAUUUUGGAUUUUCAGCUUCUUCACAAUGUAUUUGUAGUGUCUGCAUACCUCCAUGAAAUCACUUGUCCUCCAUGUAAACUAAUCUGGAAAACCAAAAAAUCAAAAACCCAAAUUGGUUUUAAAAAAAAGCUCGAAUUAUUCAGAGAAGAAGGUUGGAGAAAAUAGUGAAGACCUUGGCAGAAGCACCAUGUGGGUUUCUGAGAAGGACUUGGUCAACGCCAUUCCAAUCUUUGAUUAUCUCACUUGCUUCUUUUUGAUCCCACACUGUUGCGUAAUGACCCAUUUUCAAUUUCUUCUUCUUCUUCUUCUUCUUCUUUGAAUUUUCAGAAUCUCAAGAACUUAUUACACUGACAAAAAAAUUCUGAUUUUUGACAGCCAAAAAAAGAGCAAAAGAUAAGAAAAACGACAAAAGAGCUUUUUCUUUCUCACAAAAAUCUCAUGAACAUGGCGAUAGAAUUAUACUAUAAGAUCGAAAUUAGGGUUCUAAGAUUUCUCAAUUUGGGGAUAACUCGAAUCGGGUUCAAAAUCGGUUUAUUAUUCUGGGUUUUGGUUUGGCAUCGGGUUCGGCACAAUAAACCGAAGAUAAACCACGAAAUUUAAAAUUAUGGAGACUGAGGUCUCGAACUUUCAAUUUAGGGGGAAACUGGAGUUUAACUUUCGUUUUGUGUGGACUGGAGACGAGACCCGAAAUCUGUGUUGUUAUGGUACUAUAUGAAACUUACUGGGGGGACACAGGUUGUUCACCGAAGCUAAAUAAGCACAUUAUCGAGAUUCGAGAUGAAGAAAAAAAUCUAUUAUAUGACCAAAAAAAAAAUUGUUUAGAAAAAACUACUAUAAAAGGAGCAAAUAAUUUAUUUUUACCUUUCUCACUUUUAGCCUUUAUCUUGUAAUUGAAAGUUAACUUUGCAAAUAUAUGAAAGAUCUAGAAGAGUUGAUAAUUUUUUAAAAUAUAUUUUUGUGUAAUUUUCUUUUUUCAUAAUUUUUUAAUUAUAAAAAUCAACUUUAAGGAAUGAAAGAUGAUUUAAUCAUAAAUGAAAAAUCUAAAAAUGUAUUACGUAGAUUUGAAAAGAGAUGAUGAUGCAACAAAGGUAUUAAUAUAAAAGGUUUUGUACAAAAACACCCUCAAAAUCAUCAAUUUUUGUAACUUUACCCUCUACCUCCGAAGAAUGCAGAAUAAUCAUAUGAAGUCAAAAAUAAUACGCAAUAUAGCCCUUAUAAAUAUACUAUAAAAGUUUUCACGAUCACAUAAAUUUGGUUUUUCAAAUUUUAAGGGUAGAGUUGAAAUCCUCGUUUUGAGGGCUUCAAUUUGAUCUAUUAUUUAUCAAAAUUUAAAAAACUAGAGAACAGCGAAAAGGGGUUAUAUUGUGUAUUAUUUUUUGCUUCAUAUGAUUAUUCUACAUUUUUUAGAGGUUGAAGGUAAAAUUGCAAAAAUUGGCGACUUUGAAGGGUUUUGCACGAAACCCUAAUAUAAAUGACUUGUUGUAUUUCAUGAUAAUUAAUCAAAUGAAUUAAAAUAUCCCCUAAUAAUAUUGAUAUAUCAUGGUUUUUACGGUUAUUUAACCAUGAUAUAGGUAUUAUUAUUAGAGUAUUUUUGUUAUUUCUAGAGUCUUUUCUAGUGUUUUUCAGGUUUAUGCAUGCACAGGACCAAUUUGGAGAUUAUGGAUAAUUCUAGAGCAAAAACGAGAUGUUAUGAUGAUACAAGAGCAGUCCGGAGACCAAUCUUGGUGUAUGUGUCGAUCGACACCAAUAUCUAACGGCAAUUCGAUCUCGUAUGUUUUUGAAGUUUUGAAUAUUUGCAGAAUCAUCCCAAAAUUUUUCUCUAUUUUCAAAGAAGUCUCUACACGUUUUAAGACAAUAUAAAUAUGGGAAAGUUACCAGAUUAACCCAAAUUAUGAGUUUAAUUACUAGAAUGUCUCAAAAAAUUUGGGGGUUAAAUGAGUUAUUUUCAUGACCAUAAUACCUUUUCUCUCUUUGUUAGGAAUAAAAAAAGUCAAAAUUACCCUUAAAUAUAUUUUAAAAACGUGGAGAAAAAAUAUUUGAAAAAUCUGCUGGGUUAGUUGUGACAAGUUUAUUUUCCAUGACAGAUUUAUUUUUCUAUGACAGAUUUUUUGCAUCAGAUUUUUUUUUCUCCUAUAGACUUACUUAAAAUAGGUUACGACAAAUAUUUAAUUUGUAGCAGAUUUUUUUGUCACGCCAGACUUAUUUUAUGAUGACACCACAGACUUUUGUAAUUUUGACAGAUUUAUUAAAAUGUGUGGCAAUAUUAUUGUUUUAGUGGCGUCAGACUUAUAUUUUUCGGUAAAAAUCUGUCAUAAUGUAGCUAAUAAAAAAAUAAUUACUAGUUUGACUUAUUAGUGAUAACAGAUUUAUUUUAUGUUAUGACAAUUUUUUUUCCUAACAAAAAAUCUGGAGUGUGAUAGCAGAUUUGUUAUAUAAAAAUAUAAAUUGCUAGAAUGACAUAUACUCACAACCGAAAUGUUUUAUGUUAUGACAAAUUUUUUUUAUAUUACAACAGAAUUCAGAUAGGCUAUAAAAAAAUAUGUCGUAUGAUGGCAGUUUUAUUGAUGAAAAUAGAAUUUUAAUCUGCACAAUAAGGUAAUAAGAGACAUAUUCUUAUCUCGACAGACUUAUUUAUAAUAGAUGGCUCAUGUGUGGCUGUCUCCUUGUUAAUAUAUGAUAAAGAUUAUUUUUUUCUUUUGUUAUAUAUUUUGUUCUUUUUAAUAUAUAUAUAUAUAUAAUAUAUAUAUAUUUGUUUUUUUCGUUUUAUAUUUUUUUUUCGUUUUUUUUUAUUUAUUUUUUUUUUUUUUCAUUUUAUAUUUUUUUGUCAUUUUGUAUUUUUUUCUAAUUUUCUAUUUAAUUUAGUUAUUAUAUGUUAAUUAUUUUAUUUUAAUUGAAUUGAAAAUAAAAUAGGUAUUUGUCUUUUUUUUCGUUUUUUAUUUUUUAAUGUUUUUUCAAUUUAUAUAUAUUUUGUUUGUUUUGUAUUUUUUUUUGUUUUUUUCUCAAUUUUCUUUUUUUCGUUAUAUAAUUUUUGUUUUUGUAUUUUUUAAUUUUCUAUUUAAUUUAAUUAUUAUAUGUUAAUUAUAUUAUUUAAAUAGAAUUGAAAAUAAAAUGGUAUUUGGUCUUUUAACACAAAAAUUGUGUUAUUCUAGUAAACCACAAUAUUUGGGUGUUAAUCUAGUUAUUUUUCUCUAGAUUUGGGUCAAACUAGGUAAUUUUCAGUAUAAAUAUAUUCUUAAGGUUAUUGUUUAGACCUAAGCUUUAUUUUUAUUUUGUUCUUGGACGUAAACCCUGUGGAGCUCCCUCCAGAAAAGAUGCUUCAACACUCUAUUCUCUUCUUGUUUUCUUACAAGAUUCCUACUUUAAAACAUGUUUUGUUCUUCGAUAAUCAUGUCUGAGUAGUCCUUGUUUGGUUUAGGGAUUCUCAAUAGGGAUUUGGAUGAAUUAGUAGAUCGAUAACCUGUUAGUAAAAUAAAUCUCUAGAGUUCUUCAUCUUUGAUUGUUCUUAAUGCUAGUUCUAGAGUAAUUAACUAUAACUUGAUCUUAGGAUAAUAGGUUAGACACGAGAGUGCGCUUAUUACUAGAACUAUCUUAGGUGGGCAGAAGUAGUUAGAUACAGACGAGAGUUGGUCUAGAUACUUUUGUGAACAUAUCGAACCUGAUCUUAAUGCUUUCUUAGUUUUAGGGAUUUAAUUUACAGACGAGAGUUGGAAUUUCUGCUAUUAAGCAUAGAUAGUCAAUUCAGACGAGAGUUGGUUGAUUAUAGUUUUUUUAUUUGAGUUCUAAGAACGGUUCUUUAAUAAUUCCAAUAAUUCCUAACUAAUUGCUAGAUCUACUAUUCUAAUAUUUCCUGAGAAAUCCCUUAGCCUAACGUUUCAUCUAUCUGUUUUACAACUUAUUUUUAAAGGUUUUUUUUUGUAUUUUAAUUUACUUAAUUUUCUGUUUAGCUUAAUUCAAAACAUGUUAGUCUAUUGUGUGAACAACGAGAGCUUUGUGGAAUUCGACCCUAAAAUGCUAUACAUGAUCUCUUUAUUUGACAGAGUAGUCUUAGGUUAAUUUGACUCAUAUCAAAUAUAAAUCUACAAUAUUUAAAAACGCAACUCAUCCAAAAAUAUGAUGAUUACAACAAAAUAUAAAUCAGAACUACUACCAAAAAAAUAUAUAUAUAAAUCAGAACUUUGUAUUUUUUUUUCCGAAUAACUAUUUAUACUACUUCCUAACCACUCGGUAUUUGGUCUACCUGAUACAAAUGUUUUCCUUGUUUAUGCGAAUAGCUUUCAACAUUACUUGAAAUGCCCUGACCAUCACACCUCUCUUAAUGGGUCCACGUCCUCUCUCGGCCGGUCCGCUACGUCCAGGAGGCUUUAAAGACUUGUUUACCGUUCCUACAAAUUACCACAUGAUCUUUUCUUGUGUUUUGUCCUCACUCACACAGUUCUGACAAUCACUUCCGAGAAGGUCACCCAUCCUGAAAUUGCACGCUUAACUGUGGAGUUCUCUCAGGGCAGUUGACCGAAAAGAUAAGUGCACUUUGGUGACAUAGGUGGUCAAAUCAACUCUUUUAACACCACAUUCUUGAAACCAGGGUGUUACAUUACUUGAAAGGAAUCAUGGCCACAUUGAUAUAGUAAUUUCGAUUGGAAAAGUUACCCAUUAACUUGUUAAUCGGUUAGUGGGGAUGUCGUACAUGCAAAACGGUUCAUUAGAGAUUCGAAUGUUGCACGGAGAACUGAAAUGUGGAAUCAUUGUUUGUGGGAGCUGUUCAUCAUAAUUGUAUAUGUUGUAGGUAAUUGAUUAUCAUCGUAAUAGGAUAAGCUCAAAUAUCUAUAAUGAUAAUGUAAUAGAUGGUUAAAAAAAAAUUUGGUAUUUGUUAUGAGAAAAAGAAAAAGAUAUAUUAAAAAUCUUGUAAAUAAAAGGAGACUUUUCUUAUGAGAAACCUCAAUGAUACAGAUUUGAAUUUUCUUUGAAAUUUGAUGAAAAUUUCAUAAGAUAAAAAUGAGCUCUGUUUUUACUAGUAAUUUCUCAAACAAAUAUGUUGUAAUGUUAUAUUGCUCGAACUCAAGAAAAUUUGGUUUAUAGCAUACUUUUUCAUCUUUUUAAAAGUAAUAUAAAAAAUUAGGUAACUCGUAAGAUUUCGCCUCUGAUAUUAGCUGUAUCGUAAUCAUCAAAUAAACGUAACCGUAUUUAACCGUAACCGUUGUAACUGUAACCAUAUUUAACCGUAUAUAUAAUGGUUAAAGUUACGGUUAAAAAAGUUUAUAAUCGUAACCGGUGAUUAAUUAACCGUAAUCGUAAUAACCGUAACCGUGGUCAUACCUAGAAAAUUGUAGAGAGAUAAUUUUAAUUUGAUACACCCUCACUUUUUCAAAGAAUGAUAUUUUGAGUUUUACACACAAUUUAAGAAAAAGUAAUUUAAAAUUUUUUUAAUUAUUAUUUUGUUAGUUUAAUAAUAUUAGUACUUCUCACCUUUAUCUAUUAGUCGCAAACAAAAACAAUGAUGAUGUUUUUACAAAACAUCAAUCUUGGCUGAACAAGUAAAAAACUCAAAACAUCAAAUAACUAGGAACAGAGGGAGUAUAGUUUUUAUUAUUUUAAACUGUUUUUGUUUUUGUCUAAAAAAAAACUUGUUUUUGUUAUUAUGUACCGCUUUUGAUAAAUUUAUCUUGAUUGGUAACAACAGCUUUGUACAGCUUUAAAUUUUGUGACCAAUCAUAGCCAUUAUAAAUGUUGGAGAUUUGGCAUCUCUAUAUCAAAACUCGAUGUAAGUAUUUUCACAUCUUUUCUAUAAAUUUUAGAUUUUUGAUAGAGACAUUGAUUUUAGUCACUGCUUCCUUGUGUUUCCCAUUUCUGAUUUGCAUCAUAGAUUCGGAUUUCAGUUGCUAAUUUGCUUCUUUUAGAUUCAGAAUUUCAACAUUUCAUGACUUGUUCAAAAAAUCAUGUCUUUGGAUAUAAAUGCUGGAGAAGUUAGUUACCAUGUUUGUAUUGAAACUUGAUACUGCUCUUUUUCUUUUUUCUUUGGACGAAGCUUCCUUUGUCUAUUGUAGGACCAAUUAUUGACGUCUGCGAGGAAAUAGCUAGGAAUUGGGUACAUGAAAGAAAACAAGAAGCUAAAACCUCUAUUUUUGAUAGUAUAGUUUCUUUGUUAAUAUAUAUUCAUGACUUAUAUUUAGGAAAUAAAACUAUAAAUGUUGUAGAAUUGGCAUGUAUAUAUGUAUUAAAACUCGAUGCUUAUUGCUUGCUUUAUACGUUUGAUUUUUUCUAGUUAUCUGUUUUCAUAUUUUAGAUUUUCUUCAACUUUAUCUGUUAUUGCAUUCUAUACCAAAGCUAAUCCUCUUGUUUGCUAGUACAGUUUCAAAAUAUUCUCACUUUCUCGGUCAAUGGAGUCAACCUUCUUUGUUUAGUAUAAGUCUGUUUUGCAACUUCUUCAUCCGCAUAGCUCUCUUUAAAGCUCUCUGAUAUUAUUAAUCCUCUCUCCAAUAAUAUAUACUAACUAAUGGAUUCUUCUUCUUCUUUUAUCCUUACCACUGUUGCUGCUGCAAUAGGCUUCUUCACGCUUCUUAGAAAUCUCAGAUGCCAUCAAGAAGAUGACAAAGAAAAUAAUUCUUCUUCUUCUACUUCAUCACCUCCGUCUUCUUCAUCGUCUUUGUCUCCUCCAUCGUCUUUGGAUCGCAUCUGGACACACCAUGUGUUUCCAAGUUUUCGAGGGGAAUAUGUCCGUAGAGACUUUCUUAGUCACAUUCAGAUGGAGUUUCAAAGAAUGGGAAUCACACCAUUCAUUGAUAAUGAGAUCGAGAGAGGACAAUCCAUCGGUCCCGAACUCAUUCGAGCAAUUAGAGAAUCCAAGAUCGCAAUUAUCUUGCUCUCAAGAAACUACGCUUCUUCGAGCUGGUGUCUUGACGAAUUGGCGGAGAUUAUGAAGUGCAGGGACGAAUUGGGUCAAACAGUUUUGGCUGUUUUCUAUAAAGUGGAUCCAUCUGAUGUAAAGAAGCUGACCGGAGAUUUUGGAAAAGUCUUCAAAAAAACAUGUGCCGGUAAAACAAAAGAGCACGUUGGGAGAUGGAGACAAGCUUUGGCAAAUGUCGCCACAAUCGCCGGUUACCAUUCGACCAACUGGUUCGUUGUCUUCCUAACAAACAUCUAACUGUAUAUAUUAAUAGCUUCUUCAAAUCACAGAAACUCAUAGUUUUUUUAAAUGUGUGUGACUUCUCCAUAAUUGUUUAAUGGAUGUAGUGAUCUUCUUUGUUGUUAGGGAUAAUGAAGCGGCCAUGAUUAAAAAAAUCGCUACUGAUAUUUCGAACUUGUUGAAUAAUUCUUCAUCAUCAAGUGAUUUCGAUGGGUUGGUUGGAAUGAGAGAACAUUUAGAGAAGAUGGAACCGUUAUUAUGUUUAGACUCAGAUGAAGUGAGGAUGAUUGGGAUUUGGGGUCCUUCUGGGAUUGGGAAGACGACCAUCGCCAGAGUUAUAUACAACAAACUCUCCGGCAGUUUUCAACUGAGUGUCUUUAUGGAAUCUAUCGAAGCAAAAUAUACAAGACCAUGUUCCGAUGACUAUAGUGCCAAGUUGCAGUUACAACAGCAGUUUAUGUCUCAAAUAACCAACCAGAGUGAUAUGAAGAUUUCUCAUUUAGGUGUUGUUCAAGAUAGGCUAAAAGACAAGAAAGUUCUUGUUGUUCUUGAUGGUGUGGACAAGUCAAUGCAACUAGAUGCCAUGGUGAAAGAAACUUGGUGGUUUGGUCCUGGGAGUCGGAUUAUUAUUACAACGCAAGAUCGAAAGCUUUUCAGGUCACAUGGGAUUAACCAUAUUUACAAGAUUGAUUUUCCAUCAACUGAAGAGGCCCUUCAAAUCUUGUGCACAUAUGCUUUUGGUCAAAACUCCCCUAAUGUCGUUUUGAAGAACUUGCUCAGGAAGUUACACAACUUGCUGGUGAACUUCCUUUGGGUCUUAGGGUUAUAGGUUCUUAUUUUCGGGGAAUGUCUAAGAUGGAGUGGAUGAAAGCACUACCAAGGUUAAGGAAUAGCCUUGAUGCUAAUAUUCUUAGCAUUUUGAAGUUCAGCUAUGAUGCCUUAGAUGAUGAAGACAAAUAUUUGUUUCUUCAUAUAGCAUGCUUCUUCAAUCAUGAAGAGAUUGAGAAAGUGGAAGAUUAUCUCGCAGAGACGUUCUUGGAUGUGAGUCAUCGGCUUAAUGUCUUAGCUGAGAAAUCUCUCAUAUCUUUGAAUAGGGGAUAUAUAAACAUGCAUGAUUUGCUAGUCAAACUAGGUAGAGAUAUUGUCCGUAAACAGUCUAUUCGUGAGCCUGGACAACGCCUAUUUUUGGUUGAUGCACGAGAAAUUUGUGAAGUACUCAAUCUUGAUGCGAACGUAAGUUUUGAAAUUUCUCUCCACAAAUCGUGUUGAUUUAAUAAGUGACCAUUUCAUAUGAUUUAUGUUCUGUUUUUCAGGGUAGUAGAAGUCUUAUGGGCAUAAAUUUCAACUUUGGUGAGGAUAGGAUCAAGGAAAAGUUACAUAUAAGUGAGAGAGCCUUUCAAGGAAUGUCUAAUCUCCAAUUCUUAAGAGUCAAAGGGAAUAACAAUACAAUACAUCUACCGCACGGUUUAGAGUAUAUAUCUCGUAAACUUCGAUUACUACACUGGACUUAUUUUCCGAUGACAUGUUUGCCUCCUAUUUUCAACACGGAGUUUCUGGUUGAACUAGACAUGUCUUACAGCAAACUUGAGAAGUUGUGGGAAGGAAUUAAAGUAAGUAAUUUUGAUUUAUUUCUUUUAGAUAUUUUAUUAAUUUCAAAUUAAUAAUUUAUCUUUUGUACAAUUUUAUUUUAAUUAAUUACCAAUAGCAUGGAAGUCUGUUUUCUAAUUAAGUGUAUAUACAUGUUCUUAUUAUUUGUAUGUAUAGCCGCUUCCAAAUCUCAAGCGGAUGGAUUUGAGUUCGUCUCUCCUCUUAAAGGAGCUUCCUGAUCUCUAUUGGAAAUCUCAUCAAUCUAAAAGAAUUGGAUCUUAGCAGUUUAUCAUGUCUAGUGGAGCUCCCUUCCUCUAUUGGAAAUCUCAUCAAUCUAAAAGAAUUGGAUCUUAGCAGUUUAUCAUGUCUAGUGGAGCUCCCUUCCUCUAUUGGGAAUCUCAUCAAUCUAAAAGAAUUGGAUCUUAGCAGUUUAUCAUGUCUAGUGGAGCUCCCUUUCUCGAUUGGAAAUGCCACCAACCUUGAGGUUUUAAACCUUCGCCAAUGCUCAAGUCUGGUAAAGCUCCCCUUUUCUAUUGGAAACCUUCAGAAGUUGCAAACUUUGACCUUACGAGGAUGCUCUAAGCUAGAAGAUCUUCCAGCCAACAUCAAAUUGGGAUCUCUCGGCGAACUUGAUCUCACUGAUUGCUUGCUGUUGA
rnacentral:lncRNA from 1 species